rnacentral:rRNA from 1 species
CCUACGGGAGGCUGCAGUGGGGAAUAUUGGACAAUGGGCGAAAGCCUGAUCCAGCCAUGCCGCGUGUGUGAAGAAGGCCUUCGGGUUGUAAAGCACUUUCAGUGGGGAAGAAAGCCUUGGGGCUAAUACCCUCGAGGAAGGACAUCACCCACAGAAGAAGCACCGGCUAACUCCGUGCCAGCAGCCGCGGUAAUACGGAGGGUGCGAGCGUUAAUCGGAAUUACUGGGCGUAAAGCGCGCGUAGGCGGUCUGAUAAGCCGGUUGUGAAAGCCCCGGGCUCAACCUGGGAACGGCAUCCGGAACUGUGAGGCUAGAGUGCAGGAGAGGAAGGUAGAAUUCCCGGUGUAGCGGUGAAAUGCGUAGAGAUCGGGAGGAAUACCAGUGGCGAAGGCGGCCUUCUGGACUGACACUGACGCUGAGGUGCGAAAGCGUGGGUAGCAAACAGGAUUAGAUACCCUUGUAGUC